AAGGGGACAUUAAAAUGGAAUGGAAUUUCUGUUCAGUUGAAACUUAUGGGUAAACCACCUGUUACCAAGCUUCAAGGAACCCUCCCGAAUCUUGGCUGAGGGAACACUGAUGGUGAGUGAUCAGUGUCCCACAUACUUUCUUUUUGUUUUCUCUCACAAGCCUGGCGUAGGUUAUUUAUGCACAUGACUUAACAUUAAGAUGGUUUAUUCAUGAGAUUGCCUUAGGAGACAGGAGACAGACAACCCGCUUUUGUGAGGGUCUCUCUGGAGAUUGGCAGUUACACAAUGUAUUGUUACUCCGUCAGGCUCUAUGAGGACAAAACAUCACAAUGUAGAGGCCUCUGUUGAAAAUAAUGAUCUGUGCUGUGUAGGUCCCAAUUUGAGAAGCAUUUAUACUGAUAAAGUUACUUGAAGAAAAAAAGCCCAGAUUCUUCAGCACCAGACAGGGCAGGUCUGUGUUAAGGAGGAGAGAUCAGUGUCUUUGUCUGUUGGAUCUUCAACAAGCCUGCAGGUAAUUUACCAUCCAGAAGGUAAUUUACCAUUGUUGGCUGUGGUUCGUCUCUGGAAGACAUCAGGAGCAACCAAAUGAAUCAUUCUGCCGUCUCUCAACACCAUUCACUGUGGACAGGUGCUUGACCAGAGGCGGAGCGGUCUUGGAUCCUGUUCUGGGAGGUGUGGUUACUAAAGAACAUGAUUACCAAAUGGACCUUGUGAGAGAACUCCAUGGCAGAAAAUCUUGCUGACUACAUCAUAAGAAAAUUACUUUUUUCAGACUCAAAAUAAUCCUGUGACACGAGUUUUACUGCAUCCAUUUUACAGAUAUGGGAACUGAGGCUUGUGUGGUUACCUUGGCACAGUGCAUAGCUAACACAUAGCAGAGCCUGCCAGACAUGUGAACCCAAGUGAAUCAUCCCGGGGCCAGAAUCUCUAGAUGCCUAGAUCAUCUCACAUGUUGUCUCCAGCCUUUUCGCUGUGCCUGUGCCUGUCACUUCACUAAGGUUCUGAGUGAUACGUCAUUCACAGGAGAGAAGUGAAAUAAAGUGGUUCAGCAGAGCGGGGAUGCGUGUGUGUGUGUGUGUGUGUGUGUGUGUGUGUGUCCCUGCACCUUCUACCUUUCUGGGGAGCAGCAAACCAGACACCUUGUGAGAUAUGUUUUAAACCAAAAGAACAGAAGGGACAGGUGGACUGAUGGCAGAGGUUUGGGGAACAGUUGGACAAUUUGUCGCUCCCCAGGACCACUCAGGACUGAGUGCCUACCACCAGCAGUGGACAUCACAGCAGCUAGAGCCUGGAUUACAAACAGCAUACAACUUCUUUUCUCCUGAUCCUUCCCCACCCUAGGAUUUCUAACUUCCUCAAUUGACAAUCAGGUUUCAAUUUAAAUGUGUUCCCUCCUUGGGGCUCUGGGUGGCUCAGUUGGUUGAACGUCCGACUUCGGCUCACGUCAUGAUCUCGUGGUUUGUGAGUUUGAGCCCCAUGUCGGGCUCUGUGCUGACAGCUUGGAGCCUGGAGCCUGCUUGGGAUUCUGUGUCUCCCUCUCUCUGCCCCUCCCCCACUCAUGCUCUGUCUCCCUCUCUCAAAAAUAAAUAUUAAAAAAAUAAAAAAUGUUCCCUCCUUGAAGAGACCCUCCCUGACCACCACCUCACUCACUCUCUUAUAAUACUCCAUUUUAAUAAUCUUCAUUACCAACACAUGAAAUGAUCUCAUUUAUUUGUUUGUAUGUCUAUUUUUUCUGGAUACCAUAGUAAGAAACAAUAUAGGUUCAGAAUCGAAACUGGGUUAGAACACGAAAUACCCCCUUUACUAACCGUGUGACCUUGGAUGAAUUGUUUAACCUCGCUGGGCCUCCAAGUCAUCAUCUAUGAAAUGGGAAUGUAGGACUUAUCGAAAUGAGAAUUAUAGGAUCCUUAGGUGAAGUAAACGAGUUAAUGUAUGUCAAGCUUUCAGCAAUGCCUGACACAUAAGUGCUAUUCAACUGUUAGCUAUUAUCAGCAAUCUUAAUAAUAAUCAUUAUUACGAUUCUUACCCUAUCUUCCCCCUGGAAGGUGAGCAACUUGCUGGCAGAGAUUUUGUCUGUUGUUCUCUGUGGAAUCCCCAGUGCCUAAGAAGAAUACGUGGCACAUAUACCUAAUAAUAUACUAAAUAAGUAUUUUCUGAGAAAUACGUCUUUGAAAGCCAAUCCCAACCGUACCUUUAAGUGCAGGAGAUGGCCACAUAAACAACUCAUGAUAGUGCGGUGGGUACAGCACAAAAAGACAGGCUGAGUGAAAUGUGUACAAGUACAGAAGAGGAGGGAAUUAAUUCUUUCUCAGAAUCUCAGGGAGGUGUCCACAGAAGAGAUCAUCUUGACACAGUCUUGAAGGUCUGAAACCCUGGAGAAGCAGGACAGGUCAGGGGACGGUCCUGCAGGAGAACCACAGCUACACCUAACGGUCCUGUCUGUCGUUUCAGGCAGCUGGAGUGCUAAGCGGGGCGUGGACAGAGGCAUGGGGAGACUGCUAGGCCGGCUUGUGAAGUAUCUCCUGUUUGUCAUGUGAAGACAUUAGGGUCUUACCCUGACUGUAGUGGGGAUCACUGGAGGAUUACAAUAAAGGGAGAAGCGUACUCAAGUUUACCAUCUUGAAAGUUUGCCCUAGCUGUAGGGAAGAGACGGGACUGGCUAGGCUUUCAGAGACGAAACAGGGAGACAGAGCAUUGGAAAACUCCA